GCAUGGGUUUGGAUUUAUGGCAGGCCCAGCCCCAUGGGUCUCUCAUCGUGUCCCAUGCCAGAGCAAACCGUAGCCCUGAACCAUUGCCAUGCCUCCUAGCCCAUAGGCUUCCGGCACUGAAGCGGAUUGCACAGUG
rnacentral:snoRNA from 1 species